CCGCCCGUUGCAAUUCUUCCUGGAUCUGCUUUGAUGCAAAAACAGGACUCCAACCCUCAGCGACAAGACACUUUUUGGUCACAUCAAGACUAAGCAUGUUCAGAGUGUGGUAGAUGGAUUUCUCCUUCCGCACCAAUGAGUUCCAUUGCACAAAUUGAUCACCAAUAGUCUGCAACAAAUUGCUCCUAUGAAGUAAUCCUGCAUCUAUGGUAGUCUUCAACUCUGAGACUUUUCCUGAGACCUCAUCAAUCAUCUGGUUUUGUUUGCCCAGAUCCUCAGUGAAAGGAUAACGAUUUGC
rnacentral:misc_RNA from 1 species